rnacentral:rRNA from 1 species
GAUGAACGCUGGCGGCGUGCCUAAUACAUGCAAGUAGAACGCUGAAGGAGGAGCUUGCUCUUCUGGAUGAGUUGCGAACGGGUGAGUAACGCGUAGGUAACCUGCCUGGUAGCGGGGGAUAACUAUUGGAAACGAUAGCUAAUACCGCAUGACAACAGUUAUUGCAUGAUAACUGUUUAAAAGGGGCAACUGCUCCACUACCAGAUGGACCUGCGUUGUAUUAGCUAGUUGGUGAGGUAACGGCUCACCAAGGCGACGAUACAUAGCCGACCUGUGAGGGUGGUCGGCCACACUGGGACUGAGACACGGCCCAGACUCCUAAGGGAGGCAGCAGGAGGGGAUCUUCCGCAAUGGGCGGAAGUCUGACCGAGCAACGCCGGGUGAGGGAAGAAGGGUCUCGGAUCCGAAAGAUCUGUUGUAAGGGAAGAACGAGAGUGAGAGUGGAAAGUGCACACUGUGACGGUAUCUUACCAGAAAGCGACGGCUAACUACGUG